rnacentral:rRNA from 1 species
AGGAUGAACGCUGGCGGCGUGCUUAACACAUGCAAGUCGAACGGAGCUUAAGAAGGAAGCUUGCUUCAUUUAAGCUUAGUGGCGGACGGGGUGAGUAACGCGUGAGCAACCUGCCCUCGAGUGGGGAAUAACAUCGAGAAAUCGGUGCUAAAUACCGCAUAAUAUCGGGAAUUCGCAUGUUUUUCCGAUCAAAGGAUUUAUUCGCUUGAGGAUGGGCUCGCGUCCGAUUAGCUAGUUGGUGAGGUAACGGCCCACCAAGGCGACGAUCGGUAGCCGAACUGAGAGGUUGAUCGGCCACAUUGGGACUGAGACACGGCCCAGACUCCUACGGGAGGCAGCAGUGGGGAAUAUUGGGCAAUGGGCGAAAGACCCUGACCCAGACAACGCCGCGUGAAGGAUUGAAGGUCUUCGGAUUGUAAACUUCUUUGAUUGGGGAAGAAUAAAUGACCUACCCAAAGAACAAGCCACGGCUAACUACGUGCCAGCCGCGGC